GAGACACCCUAAUGGAACAGGACUUACUUCAGUGGGGCUUUGUUGCUCACUGAGUCUGCCCCCAUGAGUGUGUCACU
rnacentral:pre_miRNA from 1 species